rnacentral:rRNA from 1 species
UACGUAGGGGGCAAGCGUUGUCCGGAUUUAUUGGGCGUAAAGAGCGUGUAGGCGGUUUGGUAGGUCCGUUGUGAAAACUCGAGGCUCAACCUCGAGACGCCGAUGGAAACCAUCAGACUAGAGUCCGGAAGAGGAGAGUGGAAAUCCUGGUGUAGCGGUGAAAUGCGCAGAUAUCAGGAAGAACACCCGUGGCUAAGGCGGCUCUCUAGUACGGUACUGACGCUGAGACGCGAAAGCGUGGGGAGCGAACAGG